rnacentral:rRNA from 1 species
GGAGAACGCUGGGGAUCGAAAGACCUUGUGCUUUUAGAGCGGCCGACGCCUGAUUAGCUAGUUGGUAAGGUAAAGGCUUACCAAGGCAACGAUCAGUAGCUAGUCUGAGAGGACGACCACCCACACUGGGACUGAGACACGGCCCAGACUCCUACGGGAGGCAGCAGUGGGGAAUUUUGGACAAUGGGCGCAAGCCUGAUCCAGCCAUGCCGCGUGAGUGAAGAAGGCCUUCGGGUUGUAAAGCUCUUUCGGUCGGGAAGAAAUAGUUAUGGCUAAUAUCCAUAUCGAAUGACGGUACCGACAUAAGAAGCACCGGCUAACUACGUGCCAGCAGCCGCGGUAAUACGUAGGGUGCAAGCGUUAAUCGGAAUUAUUGGGCGUAAAGGGUGCGCAGGCGGAUGUAUAAGUCAGAUGUGAAAUCCCUGGGCUUAACCUGGGAAUUGCGUUUGAAACUACAAAGCUAGAAGGG